AUGGGGAAAGCAAACAACUGCACAUUCAUGGGAGGUGGGAUUCCUCUGUCAUCUGAGUUCUUUAAAGUGAUCAAGAAUGAUCUCUGGCUGUUCCUCCUUCCUGCUGUGUUUGCUGUGCUUAUUCUUGCUCUCUUCAUGGAGGAGAUUGGCUUUUUUCUGCGUCAUGUCCCCUCUCAGCGGCGUAGAUGUCUCAGCCUGUGGAUCCUGGGAAUAUAUCCAGUCUUCGGGAUGACGUCUAUCAUUGCACUAUAUGUUCCACGCUCCUCAUUUCUGUGCAAUUUCAUUGCAUCUCUUUAUCACUCCAUUACACUCUUGAAGUUCAUGGGUCUUAUCAAAGACUUCUUCGGUGGAAAGACUCGGAUGCUGGAAAUGUUAGCAGGGGAGCAGGUGUCUCCAAACCCCUUCCCUUGCUGUUGCUGCUGCUGUCUUCCUCUCUUCAACAUCAACGAGACCAGCGUGGGCUGGAUGAUGGCUGCUGUUCUUCAGCUCUCUGUGGUCAGAACAGUCCUGUUCUUCCUCACUCUUGUCCUCUGGACUGAUGAGCAAUAUGAUUAUGGGGUUGUGAGUACAAUACUAUUGUUCUAUGCUUACUAUAGUGCAAUAUUUUUAUGAUAGACCUAGAAAGUUAGAAGAUUUGAUUCAAUCAAAAAAUUAUAACUCUCUUCUUCAAAUUCACAAAAUGUUUCUUG
rnacentral:lncRNA from 1 species